CGGAUGCGCUAAUAAGUUCCCUCUGGUGGACUUGUUAGCAAAGACUUUACCAGAGUAUCCUAGCGUUCGGGAUAACGAACGUUCCCCGCCUUGAGGGUAAGAAAGGCUAAGCCUGUGAAUGAGCGGGGGGUCAAUACCCAGUCUGGACAGCAGUUCGACUCUGCUCGGAUCCACUA
rnacentral:tmRNA from 1 species